rnacentral:rRNA from 1 species
UGCAGUCGAGCGGUAACARAAAGUAGCUUGCUACUYUGSUGACGAGCGGCGGACGGGUGAGUAAUGCUUGGGAACAUGCCUUGAGGUGGGGGACAACAGUUGGAAACGACUGCUAAUACCGCAUAAUGUCUACGGACCAAAGGGGGCUUCGGCUCUCGCCUUUAGAUUGGCCCAAGUGGGAUUAGCUAGUUGGUGAGGUAAUGGCUCACCAAGGCGACGAUCCCUAGCUGGUUUGAGAGGAUGAUCAGCCACACUGGGACUGAGACACGGCCCAGACUCCUACGGGAGGCAGCAGUGGGGAAUAUUGCACAAUGGGCGCAAGCCUGAUGCAGCCAUGCCGCGUGUGUGAAGAAGGCCUUCGGGUUGUAAAGCACUUUCAGUCAGGAGGAAAGGUUAGUAGUUAAUACCUG